GACUCAUUCCCGGGCCUCCGGCUGACCACGGGAAAGGGGAUCUUCAGGAGCGGGUGUCUCAUGGCUGGGAAGAGGACGGCACAGGAGGGCUGGGGAACCCGAAUUGCAGCCUGAAUGGCCAGUGUCCUUUCUCCAGAAUGCAGUUCUCCCUUGCUCAGAAGAAAUGAGUCUGCCAGUGGGUACAACAUGAGAUGAUACUUCCACCCCCAUUGGUGACAGCCCUCACCUAGCUAUCAAGGUAUGCAGGGCUGACUUUUCACCUUCAGCCUGCUCCAGGGAAGGGCCAGAUGGCAUUCAGGCUGAUUCUGUGCUUCUGGCUGACUAAUCUCUCCAGGUACAAGAGUAAACAUGGAACGUGGGGACACCAUAUGUCCCUGACUCAUAGAGCUUGCAGGAAUCACCGUCAUUCUACGUGGCAUCUGCUUUCCUCGGCCGAGGUGGGAGGUGGGUCAAUGUAGCGGAGGAAACGUGUCUUAAAGUACAAGGCAGAGUGAACUGAAACAUAAAGAGAAGUGUGCACCUGGUAGUUGUAUCCUAAAUGACAUUUAUUUUCCAAAUGUGCUUUGUUUUGCUAGACAGUGUUCGACUUCCUUCACUCCUUCCAGGGGCCAGCAUGUGGCUGGCCACUGUCCACCCUCAGGGGUUGUGAACUGAAUUAAAGGGUUGCGUCCUUCAUCCAUUUUCUUUGCUGAACUGUCUUGAAUUUUACCCUAAGUUCAAAAUGAAGCAGACCAUAGCUGAGUUUAAAGGAGAUCCGAUUGACAUUGGGAAGUGGCACCCAAUAAGAUGGCUGUUUCUUCCGCCUGCUCCAGGGCUCGCCAACAGGAGAACUGAAAGCUGAAGCAUCUCAACCUGCAGAUACAUCUCAAAGGCCCCUUCAGCCGAUGUCCUCAGUGCCCUUGACACAGCCCCUUGGCACUUGCCUUCCACACACAUGCUGCUGCACCAGUUUCCUCCUGGUAGCAUCUUCCUUUCCGCCUGAGGAUUUCCCAGGCAUCCUGCCUCCAAGAAAGUCAGAAGUCAGUGCCUUCCUGAGAGCCGGUGAGAGCUCCGUCUCCCUUGGGCAAGUGGUGCUGAUGCCUGUUCCCUGCAUCCAUCUCUCAGAAGCCACAGCAGAACUGAGCUCCAGGGGCCACUGCGAGAAGCAUUUAUGGAGCUCGUGGAGUGAGGCAUCUCUUUAAUCCCUUCAGUAAGUCAGUGUGGGCCAAGGAGUCUGAGGAUCAGAGACCUUGUGACUUUUUAAGUGAAGAUUUACUAUGUGCUGGGGCCCAUUGUGUUUUAUUUUAUUGACUCGUCCCAAGCUCUAAGAGGGAGAGACCUUGAUUGUCCCAAUUUCACUGACACAGUUUGGGAAGGUUAAAACAUGAUGAAAGGAAAUAGACUGGAAUGAUACAGUAAUAUGGAAUUGAGCAUUUUCACCAACAUUUUUACAUGUUUUAAAAUGUCAUUUUCUGGCCAGGGGUGGUGGCUCACGCCUGUAACCCCAGCACUUUGGGAAGCUGAGGCUGGUGGAUCACUUGAGGCCAGGAGUUUGUGACCAGCCUGGCCAACACAGUGAAACCAUGUUUCUACUAAAAAUAUAAAAAAAUGGCUUGGUGUGGCCGUGCGCACUUUAAUACCAGGUACUUGGAAGGCCGAGGCAUGAGAAUCACUUGAAACUGGGAGGCAGAGUUUGCAGUGAGCCAAGAUCGUGCCACUGCACUCCAGCCUCGGAGACAGAGUGAGACUCUGUCUCAAAAAAAAAAAAAAAAAAAGUAAAUAAAAAUAAAAUGGUAUUUUAUUUUUCUUUCAUUCUUUUUUUUUUUUUUUACAAAAAAACUUUUAUUAUUAUUUUAGAUUUAAGAGGCACGUGUGCAGGUUUGUUACGUUGAUAUAUUGCAUAAUGGUAAGUUUUGGGCUUCUAGUGAACCCUUCACUCAAACAGUGACCGUUGUAUCUGACAGAUAAUUUUUCAGUUUUCACCUUCCUUCUGCUCUCCUGGCUUUUGGGUUCCCAGUGUCUAUUUUUUCCAUCUCUAUGUCCAUGUGGGCCCAUUGUUUAGCUCCCACUUACAAGUGAGGACAUGCAGUAUUUGAUUUCCUGUUUCUGAGUUAUUUAACUCAGAAUAAUGGUCUCCAGCUCCAUUCAUGCUGCUGCAAAAGACAUGAUUUCAUUCUUAAAAUGGCACUUUAUGAGGUUCGCUUUUCCUGGCAAGAUGAACUAACAAAAUGGAGAUGUUGGAUUCUUUUAUUAAACCCAAAUGUGGUGAGCCACAGAUGGAAGGUAGAAGGUUGCUGAUUCUCGAAAAAGAAUCUGGGAAAUGAUAGCCUAGGGUCAGGAGGGCCAGGUACCAAAAGGGAGGCUGGCUGGGGUUGUGGAGUUAUGUGCUUUUCCUUCCCUGAACUUCCCUCAAGAAAAUAAGAGCUUCCCCAUCACCUCAGCAAAGCAUCAGUCCCCCGGUGUUGAACCAGCUGGUACUCUGGCAGCCCUAAAGCACUCUCCUCCCGAGCUCCCACUUAAGCAAGGUGGGGAUGAUUUUAAGGCAGGCAGCUGUAGAAAAAGAGUAGGGCUCUGGGAGCUCUCCAGAGCUCCUCUGUCACCUGGCACAGAGGGUGGGUCACUCAGGGGAGGUCCAGCCCACAAUAAACAUGGAAGCCACGCACCCCGAUGUCAUCCCCCAGGCUCAUCCUCACCACGAGGCAGGCAAGGCCUGCACCUGGGCCUUUGCUCCUUCUCCCAGGGAUGUCAGACCAGCCAAGGCAGCCGGUGUUUCCACAUGCAUGUGGGCUCAGGAGGAUAUGAAAGGGUCAGGGCCAGCCCAAUAACUGAGCCACACACACUAGAUGAGAUGGUAGGGGAGUUCAGGCAGGGCAUGAAUUAAAGGAAGCUUAAUAAAUAUUCUCAAACAGAUCAGGAAAAACAAAA